UGAGUGAUGAAGGCCUUCGGGUUGUAAAGCUCUUUUGUGCGGGAAGAUAAUGACGGUACCACAAGAAUAAGCCCCGGCUAACUUCGUGCCAGCAGCCGCGGUAAUACUAAGGGGGCUAGCGUUGCUCGGAAUCACUGGGCGUAAAGGGUGCGUAAGCGGGUCUUUAAGUCAGGGGUGAAAUCCGGGAGCUCAACUCCAGAACUGCCUUUGAUACUGAAGAUCUUGAGUUCGGGAGAGGUGAGUGGAAUUGCGAGUGUAGAGGUGAAAUUCAUAUAUAUUCGCAAGAACACCAGUGGCGAAGGCGGCUCACUGGCCCGAUACUGACGCUGAGGCCCGAAAGCGUGGGGAGCAAACAGGAUUAAAUACCCUGGUAGUCCACGCCAUAAACGAUGAAUGCUAGCCGUUAGUGGGUUUACUCCCUAGUGGCGCAGCUAACGCUUUAAGCAUUCCGCCUGGGGAGUACGGUCGCAAGAUUAAAACUC
rnacentral:rRNA from 1 species